rnacentral:misc_RNA from 1 species
UCUUGAAAAACUAAGAGACAAUUUUAGAAGACUAAACAUUAAUGCAUUAAUUCCAACAGUAGAGACUAGAAACCUGCAGCUUUCUUCCUACUUAACCAAUUUCAGCAUAGAAAAUACAUACAUACAACAAAUAGAUGCAUAAAUUCAAUACAUAAUUCAUAACUCUAUCUUGUGAUGCAAUCAACUUCCGCACCACAUUCCGCAUAGUGGAUGUAUUCACUAUUUG